rnacentral:rRNA from 1 species
CCCUUAGAUGUCCUGGGCCGCACGCGUGCUACACUGAGUGGAUCAGCGGGUCAGGUUGCGCGAAAGUGUUUCCUAAUCUUGAAAUCCGCUCGUGAUGGGGAUUGACGGUUGCAAUUUUCCGUCAUGAACGAGGAAUACCUUGUAAGCGCGGGUCAUCAUCCCGCGCUGAAUACGUCCCUGCCCUUUGUACACACCGCCCGUCGCUCCUACCGAUUGAGUGGUCCGGUGAGGCUUUGGGAUCUGAGCAAAGAGAGCGUUUCGCUCGUUUUGCCCGGAAAACUCAGUCGAACCUUAUCAUUUAGAGGAAGGAGAAGUCGUAACA